AAAGCAUGGUGAGGCCAGUUCUAAGCAUUUCCUUGAAUCUCUCCCAACUCUAAUAAAAGGUUUCUCUUUCUAACUGUCUAAAAUAAAUAAUGUCAUUUCUAUUCUU